rnacentral:rRNA from 1 species
CCUACGGGAGGCAGCAGUGGGGAAUAUUGCACAAUGGGGGAAACCCUGAUGCAGCGACGCCGCGUGAGUGAAGAAGUAAUUCGUUAUGUAAAACUCUAUCAGCAGGGCAGAAAAUGACGGUACCUGAGUAAGAAGCCCCGGCUAACUACGUGCCAGCAGCCGCGGUAAUACGUAGGGGGCAAGCGGUAUCCGGAUUUACUGGGUGGUACGGGAGCGUUAACGGCAGUGCAAGUCUGGAGUGAAAGGCGGGGGCUCAACCCCCGGACUGCGCUGGAAACUGUACGGCUGGAGUGCAGGAGAGUUAUGUGGAAUUCCUAGUGUAGCGGUGAAAUGCGUAGAUAGUAGGAGGAACACCAGUGGCGAAGGCGGCUUACUGGACUGUAACUGACGUUGAGGCUCGAAAGCGUGGGGAGCAAACAGGAGUAGAUACCAGGGUAGUC